UAUUGGUCAAUGGGCGGAAGCCUGAACCAGCCAAGUCGCGUGAGGGAUUAAGGCCCUGCGGUUCGUAAACCUCUUUUGCCGGGGAUCAGCGUUCCGGACGUGUCCGGGCCGGGAGAGUACCCGGAGAAAAAGCAUCGGCUAACUCCGUGCCAGCAGCCGCGGUCAUACGGAGGAUGCGAGCGUUAUCCGGAUUUAUUGGGUUUAAAGGGUGCGUAGGCGGGCAUUUAAGCCGGCGGUCAAAUGUCGGGGCUCAACCCCGGCCUGCCGUCGGAACUGGGUGCCUUGAGUGGGCGAGAAGUAUGCGGAAUGCGUGGUGUAGCGGUGAAAUGCAUAGAUAUCACGCAGAACUCCGAUUGCGAAGGCAGCAUACCGGCGCCCAACUGACGCUGAAGCACGAAAGCGUGGUUAUUG
rnacentral:rRNA from 1 species